GAUGAACGCUGGCGGCGUGCCUAAUACAUGCAAGUCGAGCGGACGGACGCUAAGCUUGCUUUUCUGAUGUUAGCCGCGGACGGGUGAGUAACACGUGGAUAACCUCCCUAUCAGACUGGGAUAACUUCGGGACACCGGAGCUUAUACCGUAUAAUAUUUUGAACCGCAUGGUUCAAAAGUGAAAGACGGUCUUGCUGUCACUUAUAGAUGGAUCCGCGCUGCAUUAGCUAGUUGGUAAGGUAACGGCUUACCAAGGCAACGAUGCAUAGCCGAGCUGAGGGAGGGAUCGGCCACCCGGGAACUGGACCACGGUCCAUGCUCCUAAGGGAGGCAGCAGAAGGGAAUCGUCCGCAAUGGGCGAAAGCCUGACGGAGCAACGCCGCGUGAGUGAUGAAGGUCUUGGGAGCGUAAAACUGUGUUAUUAGGGAAGAACAGAUGUGUAAGUAACUGAACACUGAGUGACGGUACUUAAUCAGAAAGCCACGGCUAACUACGUG
rnacentral:rRNA from 1 species